rnacentral:rRNA from 1 species
AUGUACUACUGUAUUAUACAGUAUUAUAGCCCCCUAAACCUCUCGCUAACGAAACCGAAGUUACAGAUGACACCGCAAAUUGCUUGUGACGGUGUUUCAAUUUGCGGCCAUCCAAACCAUCUGAAGCUUAGUGUACUGAAUCUGGAGAACAGGACCCCUACUUGCCGGUGCUUAAGAGGGCUAGGGCUGGUGCAGAAGGACGCGCGCCACCCCCAAGCUCUGGCGACUGGCCUAAGGGUCGACGGGAGCAGCAGGGACAAGCGUCCGAGCAGAAAUCGCCGGAGCGGAGCAAAAAACCUAGGGGAUGCAUAUGCUUCAAGUGGCGGAACGGGACCAUAG